CCUACGGGAGGCAGCAGUGAGGAAUAUUGGUCAAUGGACGAGAGUCUGAACCAGCCAAGUAGCGUGAAGGAUGACUGCCCUAUGGGUUGUAAACUUCUUUUAUAAAGGAAUAAAACGAGGCACGUGUGCCUGUUUGCAUGUACUUUAUGAAUAAGCAUCGGCUAACUCCGUGCCAGCAGCCGCGGUAAUACGGAGGAUCCGAGCGUUAUCCGGAUUUAUUGGGUUUAAAGGGUGCGUAGAUGGGUUGUUAAGUCAGUUGUGAAAGUGUGGGGGUCAACCGUAAAAUUGCAUUUGAUACUGGCAGUGUAGAGUACGGUUGAGGUAGGCGGAAUGCGUGGUGGAGCGGUGAAAUGCUUAGAUAUCGCGAAGAACCCCGAUUGCGAAGGCAGCAUACUAAACUGUGACUGACAUUGAGGCUCGAAAGUGUGGGUAUCAAACAGGAUUAGAUACCCUGGUAGUC
rnacentral:rRNA from 1 species